GGGCCCGCACAAGCGGUGGAGUAUGUGGUUUAAUUCGAUGCAACGCGAAGAACCUUACCAGGGUUUGACAUCCUGCGAAUCUCUUGGAAACAGGAGAGUGCCUUCGGGAACGCAGUGACAGGUGGUGCAUGGCUGUCGUCAGCUCGUGUCGUGAGAUGUUGGGUUAAGUCCCGCAACGAGCGCAACCCACGUCUUUAGUUGCCAGCGGGUAAUGCCGGGGACUCUAGGAAGACAAACCUCGUGUAGAGGUGGGAAGGUGGGGACGACGUCAAGUCAGUAUGGCCCUUACGACCAGGGCUGCACACGUGCUACAAUGCUCGGUACAAUGGGAUGCAACGCCGCGAGGUUGAGCUAAUCCAUAAACCGAGCCCAGUUCGGAUUGGAGUCUGCAACUCGACUCCAUGAAGUUGGAAUCGCUAGUAAUGGCGUAU
rnacentral:rRNA from 1 species